rnacentral:rRNA from 1 species
AACGAACGCUGGCGGCAUGCCUAACACAUGCAAGUCGAACGAGACCUUCGGGUCUAGUGGCGCACGGGUGCGUAACGCGUGGGAACCUGCCCUUAGGUUCGGAAUAACUCCCCGAAAGGGGUGCUAAUACCGGAUAAUGUCUUCGGACCAAAGAUUUAUCGCCUUUGGAUGGGCCCGCGUUGGAUUAGCUAGUUGGUAGGGUAAAAGCCUACCAAGGCGACGAACCAUAGCUGGUCUGAGAGGAUGAUCAGCCACACUGGGACUGAGACACGGCCCAGACUCCUACGGGAGGCGGCAGUGGGGAAUAUUGGACAAUGGGCGAAAGCCUGAUCCAGCAAUGCCGCGUGAGUGAUGAAGGCCUUAGGGUUGUAAAGCUCUUUUACCCGGGAUGAUAAUGACAGUACCGGGAGAAUAAGCUCCGGCUAACUCCGUG